GGAGGAAAGCAGGGGAUCGCAAGACCUUGCGCUCAUUGAGCGGCCGAUGCCUGAUUAGCUAGUUGGUGAGGUAAAGGCUAACCAAGGCGACGAUCAGUAGCUGGUCUGAGAGGACGACCAACCACACUGGGACUGAGACACGGCCCAGACUCCUACGGGAGGCAGCAGUGGGGAAUUUUGGACAAUGGGGGAAACCCUGAUCCAGCCAUGCCGCGUGAGUGAAGAAGGCCUUCGGGUUGUAAAGCUCUUUCAGCCGGAACGAAACGGUCACGGCUAAUACCUGUGACUACUGACGGUACCGGAAGAAGAAGCACCGGCUAACUACGUGCCAGCAGCCGCGGUAAUACGUAGGGUGCGAGCGUUAAUCGGAAUUACUGGGCGUAAAGCGUGCGCA
rnacentral:rRNA from 1 species